GCCAGUUUAAAGUAACAGCUACAAGAAGAAUAGCUGUACCAUCCCUGCCCUCUCAGCUGGGGUGCCCCUUACAUUGCCUAGCUGCUGUAGCCACCAGCAGGACUACUCACAAACAGCCUCCAACAUGUCUUCACUUCCUGCUGGCUAGUCUGAGUAAGAGUUUUGCUGAAUUGUCAACCUGGCUCGUUUUGGGUUCCUAGGCUGCUGAAUGGUUUGCACUUUUCCAGCUAUGGCUGCUUGCUAAACAUGGACCCUGCUUCAUUUACCUACUCGACCUCAUUCAAGAUGUCAGCUCUUACUGCAUCUGACCUCCCUCGUAUCAUGAUGAACAACUUGAAAUUAUGUCUAUUGAGGUGACCUCUUCCCAGAAUUCUUGUUUAUCGGACUGUCGAUAAUGUGUAAGGAGAAGGAAGAAUACUUAGUCACAGUUUUUCCUUUGUGUAACUCUUCAAGUCAAGCAGGGAAGGAGGAAUGGGACAAAUACUUCAUGCCCUGGGAAAACUCUAUUUAAGAAAUGGGAAGCAAACUAUGAUUGGCUUCACAGACUGCUCCCCAACUCAGUAGAAGCUGGAAAGAAAAGAACUCUGAUGAGGGGAGAAGCUAUUCAAUCCAGUUCAGAAAAAAAUCAACUCUGGCCUAAAUAACUUUCUCUGAAAUAAGAACUGUUGUGAGAAAUUAUGAUUCAACUAUUUAUCUUAGAAACCUAGGCCUAGCUGGCAUGUUGUAUUUUAGUUUAGUAGCUUACUUUGAUCUGUGUAGUCAUUUGCAACCACUUAAAUCCCACUUAUAAAUAAUAAACAAGUGAUUUUAUUAUC